CCUACGGGGGGCUGCAGUGGGGAAUAUUGGACAAUGGGGGGAACCCUGAUCCAGCCAUGCCGCGUGUGUGAAGAAGGCCCUCGGGUUGUAAAGCACUUUCAGUGAGGAAGAACGCCUGGUGGUUAAUACCCAUCAGGAAAGACAUCACUCACAGAAGAAGCACCGGCUAACUCCGUGCCAGCAGCCGCGGUAAUACGGAGGGUGCGAGCGUUAAUCGGAAUUACUGGGCGUAAAGCGCGCGUAGGUGGCUUGAUAAGCCGGUUGUGAAAGCCCCGGGCUCAACCUGGGAACGGCAUCCGGAACUGUCAAGCUAGAGUGUAGGAGAGGAAGGUAGAAUUCCCGGUGUAGCGGUGAAAUGCGUAGAGAUCGGGAGGAAUACCAGUGGCGAAGGCGGCCUUCUGGACUGACACUGACACUGAGGUGCGAAAGCGUGGGUAGCAAACAGGAUUAGAUACCCCAGUAGUC
rnacentral:rRNA from 1 species